UGCAUGGUUGUCGUCAGCUCGUGUCGUGAGAUGUUGGGUUAAGUCCCGCAACGAGCGCAACCCCUAUUGUUAGUUGCCAUCAUUCAGUUGGGCACUCUAGCGAGACUGCCGGUAAUAAACCGGAGGAAGGUGGGGAUGACGUCAAAUCAUCAUGCCCCUUAUGACCUGGGCUACACACGUGCUACAAUGGUUGGUACAACGAGUUGCGAGUCGGUGACGGCGAGCUAAUCUCUUAAAGCCAAUCUCAGUUCGGAUUGUAGGCUGCAACUCGCCUACAUGAAGUCGGAAUCGCUAGUAAUCGCGGAUCAGCACGCCGCGGUGAAUACGUUCCCGGGCCUU
rnacentral:rRNA from 1 species